GGGGGGAGGCCGGAUCCUGGGCUGUGUCUCCUGCGCCCUGUGCUCCGGGGCCUGCGCUGAUAGAUUCGCUCCCGCCCCGCAGCCCCCU
rfam:Canis lupus familiaris chromosome 34, whole genome shotgun sequence.